CAGAGAUGGAAUUCCAUCUGAAUCUUGCUGUGAUUUUUUGGAUGAACUCAUGGGAUGUCAUUGCAGAUUCAAGGUUGUAUGUGUUUGUAAUUUGGGUUUAGUAUUGAUCAAUCACUUCUGGGCCAGAGGGGAAAUGUGCAUGUGAAUUUUGAAAAUAAAAAUUUGAAAACAUCCCUGAAGAUAGUGACCCGUUGCUCCAUUCAUGGGUAUUUGAGCUUAUACAGGUGUCUCAGGCUGUUGUCAUGAAGUACCACAAAGCUGGUGGCUUAAAACACACCUUUAUUUAUCUUACAGCCCCAGGAGUCAGAAGCCCAGAUGGGUCUCCUGACUAAAAUCAACACGUGCCAGGGCUGUGCUCCUUCUGCAGACUCGAGAGGAAUGCUGUUCCAGCUUUCAGAAGCGUCCACACCCGUGGGCUGUGGCCCCAUGUCCCUCCAACCUCUGCCUCCCAAGUCACACCUCCUCUUGCCUCCCUGCUUCACUUCUGAGGACCCCAUCCUGCAUAAUCCUCUCCUCACCUCCAAAUCCUUAAUUGAAUUAUGCUUGCAGAAUCCUUUCUACCAGGUGAGGCACCAUAUUCACACGUUCCAGAGAUUAGGAUGUGGACACGAGUGGUGGUGGUUGUCCUGCUACCCAGAGUUCUUCCCGAUUCCUUUCUAUUUUACCAGAGACAAAGCUAACAUCUUUGUACAUGUCUAUAUGCACUGGUUAUUUCCUGAGGAAAAAAUCCUGAGUCACGUUGCGUGGAAUGGCUGCCCAAGUGGACCCUCCAUGGAAAUAUCAUGUACGUCCAGGGGUAUUAGGAAUGAUCAGCAUCAUUUGAGGCCUGGAAAUGCAGAGACAGACUAGACAGAAGGCAAAGCAAAUGAAGUCUCAAGAUACAUUCCUCACUCCCCACUUCUUGCAAAACAUUGCCUCUCCCAUGUUCCACCACAGAGGAAAUUCUGUAGCCCUGCCCCUCCUCGCACAUCGGACCCACUCUUCUUCUUUGCUGCCUGGACAUUGGGAAUUCACGGGGGGUUUUGUGCGGGGUGAUCACAUCAUCAGAUAGCCCUUGAGAGGAGCUCAUUGUCAGCCUUGACUAUGGUGAGUCUCUCCUUGCUCUACCAGGUACGUACAUAGGUCAGAUUCGUGAAUCACUUUUUUUACACUGAUGGCUUUUGGGUCAUGUUUUUUUGGUUUUUGUUUUUUGUCUUUUUUAAGAUUUUAUUUAUUCAUGAGGGACACAGAGAGUGGCAGAGACACAGGCAGAAGGAGAAGCAGGCUUCCUGUGGGGAGCCCAAUAUGGGACUCAAUCCCAGGACCCUGACCCUGGGAUCAUGACUUGAGCCGAAGGCUUAACCACUGAGUCACCCAGGUGUCCCCUUUUGGGUCAUGCUUAACAAGGUCUCGUGCAUCCUUUGCAAGAUACAACCACCCAUUCACAGUUUCUUGCAGUACUUGAGUUUUCGAAUGCUGCCACACAAU
rnacentral:lncRNA from 1 species